AAAAGAGAAGCUUAGGAAGAUUAGGGAGACAGCAGGACUUGGGGAGGACGAGAAUUGCUUAUUGGAUAUUAAAGAUUUUGACGAGGAUUUUGAUCCAGAAGAGUAUGACAGGAUGAUGAAACGGGCUUUUAGUGAAGAAUAUUAUGAGAAAGAAGACAUUGAUCCUGGGUUUGGAAGUGAUAUGGAUGAUGAAGGUGAUGGUGAGAUUGAGAAACCUGAU
rnacentral:misc_RNA from 1 species